CCUACGGGAGGCAGCAGUAGGGAAUAUUGGUCAAUGGGCGAAAGCCUGAACCAGCCAUGCCGCGUGCAGGAAGACGGCCUUCUGGGUUGUAAACUGCUUUUAUACGGGAAUAAAGAGUCCCUGCGGGGAAAUUUGCAGGUACCGUAUGAAUAAGCACCGGCUAACUCCGUGCCAGCAGCCGCGGUAAU
rnacentral:rRNA from 1 species